GAUGAAGAACGUAGCGAAAUGCGAUAAGUAAUGUGAAUUGCAGAAUUCAGUGAAUCAUCGAAUCUUUGAACGCACAUUGCGCCCGCCAGUAUUCUGGCGGGCAUGCCUGUUCGAGCGUCAUUUCAACCAUCUAGCCCCCGGCUUGUGUUGGGGACCUGCGGCUGCCGCAGGCCCUGAAAAGCAGUGGCGGGCUCGCUGUCACACCGAGCGUAGUAGCAUACAUCUCGCUCUGGGCGUGCUGCGGGUUCCGGCCGUUAAACCACCUUCAUAACCCAAGGUUGACCUCGGAUCAGGUAGGAAGACCCGCUGAACUUAAGCAUAUCAAUAAGCGGAGGA
rnacentral:misc_RNA from 1 species